ACUAUUAUUUCUCUCCUACAGAUGAAGCAGUGAAACACAGAGAAGUUAAACAAGUUGGCCAAGGUCGCACAGCUAACAACUGGAACCUGGUUAUUCCUCAGCUCCUCCGAUCCUAACUGCUCUGCUGAGCUGUUUGUCAUUACACGCCACUACCUGAGGCUGAAUUGCACUUGUAUGUUUACACAUCUGCACGUCUUUACAGAGUUUGGGCUGCUUCUUGACUGAAAUCGUUUGUUUCAUUCACAUCCUUAAAAUUCCUGGUGCCCAAACAGCUCUGUGACCUGGUGUGGAGCUGAUGUUCAGAACAUGUUUGCUCAAGAAUUCUCAAGGCUUCUGGAUGGUCUUUCCCUUCCCUGAUGUUUCCAGUGUUCACAACAACGUUAACAUCACCAGCGUAUAAACAGCUCUUUCCUGUUCCAAGAGCCAGAGAAGCAGUCCAGGAAAAAUGGAUGGAGGCUAUAAAUAGGACAAUUUUGGAGCAUGAAUUCUACAAGGCCAGCAAUCAUGUGAAAUUUUCUUUCAAUGACACUGGGUUGCUGCCAUGACUACAAAGAUAAAAAAAUAAAGAAGGCA
ensembl:lncRNA